UACGUAGGGGGCAAGCGUUGUCCGGAUUUAUUGGGCGUAAAGAGCUCGUAGGCGGCUUGGCAAGUCGGGUGUGAAAACUUCAGGCUCAACCUGGAGCGGCCACUCGAUACUGCUAUGGCUUGAGUCCGGUAGGGGACCACGGAAUUCCUGGUGUAGCGGUGAAAUGCGCAGAUAUCUGGAGGAACACCGGUGGCGAAGGCGGCAUCCUGGACCAACACUGACACUGAGGAGCGAAAGCGUGGGGAGCAAACAGG
rnacentral:rRNA from 1 species